rnacentral:rRNA from 1 species
AGAGUUUGAUCCUGGCUCAGGAUGAACGCUAGCUACAGGCUUAACACAUGCAAGUCGAGGGGAAACGAUAGAGAAAGCUUGCUUUUUCUAGGCGUCGACCGGCGCACGGGUGAGUAACGCGUAUCCAACCUGCCCAUCACUUGGGGAUAACCUUGCGAAAGUAAGACUAAUACCCAAUGAUAUCUCUAGAAGACAUCUGAAAGAGAUUAAAGAUUUAUCGGUGAUGGAUGGGGAUGCGUCUGAUUAGCUUGUUGGCGGGGUAACGGCCCACCAAGGCGACGAUCAGUAGGGGUUCUGAGAGGAAGGUCCCCCACAUUGGAACUGAGACACGGUCCAAACUCCUACGGGAGGCAGCAGUGAGGAAUAUUGGUCAAUGGGCGAGAGCCUGAACCAGCCAAGUAGCGUGCAGGAUGACGGCCCUAUGGGUUGUAAACUGCUUUUAUAAGGGAAUAAAGUGAGUCUCGUGAGGCUUUUUGCAUGUACCUUAUGAAUAAGGACCGGCUAAUUCCGUGCCAGCAGCCGCGGUAAUACGGAAGGUCCGGGCGUUAUCCGGAUUUAUUGGGUUUAAAGGGAGCGUAGGCCGGAGAUUAAGCGUGUUGUGAAAUGUAGAUGCUCAACAUCUGCACUGCAGCGCGAACUGGUUUCCUUGAGCACGCACAAAGUGGGCGGAAUUCGUGGUGUAGCGGUGAAAUGCUUAGAUAUCACGAAGAACUCCGAUUGCGAAGGCAGCUCACUGGAGCGCAACUGACGCUGAAGCUCGAAAGUGCGGGUAUCGAACAGGAUUAGAUACCCUGUAGUCCGCACGGUAAACGAUGAUGCCCGCUGUUGUCUGAUAGGUCAGCGGCCAAGCGAAAGCAUUAGCAUCCCACCUGGGAGUACGCGGCACGUGAACUCAAGGAAUGACGGGGCCCGCACAGCGGAGGAACAUGGUGGUUUAAUCGAUGAUACGCGAGGACUUACCGGGCUGAAUUGCAGAAGAAGAUUGGAGACAAUGACGCCCUUCGGUCUCUGUGAGGGCUGCAUGAUGUCGUCAGCUCGUGCCGGGGAGGGGUCGGCUAUGCAUAACGAGGCACCCCUCUCUUAAUUGCAUAAGUAAGCUGGCACCUUUGGACUGCCACGUUAAGGUUGAGAGGUUGGGAUGACCUCAUAUCAGCACGGCCCUUACGUCCGGGGCUACACAUGUGUUACAAUGGCAGGUACAGAGAGAUGGUGUUCUGCAAAGCGCAUCUAAUCCUUAAAGCCUGUCUCAGUUCGGACUGGGGUCUGCAACCCGACCCCACGAAGCUGGAUUCGCUAGUAAUCGCGCAUCAGCCAUGGCGCGGUGAAUACGUUCCCGGGCCUUGCACACACCGCCCGUC